UUUUUUAAAUUGCUGUGGUAUUUUGACUAUACGAAGGUAUUGAAAUAAGGCUUUAAUUGGGUGCUAAGAGAAUGGUUGAACAAAGAUUAACUUUCUUUUUAUUUAUAAUAGAAUUUGAUUUAAAAAUGAAAAAGUUUUUAUAAAAAUUUGGGACAAGAAGACCCUAUGAAUUUUUUUUUAUAAUUUUAUUUAUAAUUUUUGAUUAAGGGAGUUAAAUGGAGUUUUAAAUUGGUUGGGGUGAUUUUUAAAGAAUGUUUAUCUUUAAAAGUAGGGACUAGAACCAGGAUUCUUGGUUGAUUGAGUAAAAUACUCUAGGGAUAACAGCGUUAUUAUUUUGGAUAGUUCAUAUAGAUAAAAUAGUUUGCGACCUCGAUGUUGGAUUAAGAUACUUUUUUAAUGUAGUCGUUAAAGGAAGGAGUUUGCUCAACUUU
rnacentral:rRNA from 1 species